rnacentral:rRNA from 2 species
CUGGUAUUGAUUGGUGCUUGCAUCAUGAUUUACAUUUGAGUGAGUGGCGAACUGGUGAGUAACACGUGGGAAACCUGCCCAGAAGCGGGGGAUAACACCUGGAAACAGAUGCUAAUACCGCAUAACAACUUGGACCGCAUGGUCCGAGUUUGAAAGAUGGCUUCGGCUAUCACUUUUGGAUGGUCCCGCGGCGUAUUAGCUAGAUGGUGGGGUAACGGCUCACCAUGGCAAUGAUACGUAGCCGACCUGAGAGGGUAAUCGGCCACAUUGGGACUGAGACACGGCCCAAACUCCUACGGGAGGCAGCAGUAGGGAAUCUUCCACAAUGGACGAAAGUCUGAUGGAGCAACGCCGCGUGAGUGAAGAAGGGUUUCGGCUCGUAAAACUCUGUUGUUAAAGAAGAACAUAUCUGAGAGUAACUGUUCAGGUAUUGACGGUAUUUAACCAGAAAGCCACGGCUAACUACGUGCCAGCAGCCGCGGUAAUACGUAGGUGGCAAGCGUUGUCCGGAUUUAUUGGGCGUAAAGCGAGCGCAGGCGGUUUUUUAAGUCUGAUGUGAAAGCCUUCGGCUCAACCGAAGAAGUGCAUCGGAAACUGGGAAACUUGAGUGCAGAAGAGGACAGUGGAACUCCAUGUGUAGCGGUGAAAUGCGUAGAUAUAUGGAAGAACACCAGUGGCGAAGGCGGCUGUCUGGUCUGUAACUGACGCUGAGGCUCGAAAGUAUGGGUAGCAAACAGGAUUAGAUACCCUGGUAGUCCAUACCGUAAACGAUGAAUGCUAAGUGUUGGAGGGUUUCCGCCCUUCAGUGCUGCAGCUAACGCAUUAAGCAUUCCGCCUGGGGAGUACGGCCGCAAGGCUGAAACUCAAAGGAAUUGACGGGGGCCCGCACAAGCGGUGGAGCAUGUGGUUUAAUUCGAAGCUACGCGAAGAACCUUACCAGGUCUUGACAUACUAUGCAAAUCUAAGAGAUUAGACGUUCCCUUCGGGGACAUGGAUACAGGUGGUGCAUGGUUGUCGUCAGCUCGUGUCGUGAGAUGUUGGGUUAAGUCCCGCAACGAGCGCAACCCUUAUUAUCAGUUGCCAGCAUUAAGUUGGGCACUCUGGUGAGACUGCCGGUGACAAACCGGAGGAAGGUGGGGAUGACGUCAAAUCAUCAUGCCCCUUAUGACCUGGGCUACACACGUGCUACAAUGGAUGGUACAACGAGUUGCGAACUCGCGAGAGUAAGCUAAUCUCUUAAAGCCAUUCUCAGUUCGGAUUGUAGGCUGCAACUCGCCUACAUGAAGUCGGAAUCGCUAGUAAUCGCGGAUCAGCAUGCCGCGGUGAAUACGUUCCCGGGCCUUGUACACACCGCCCGUCACACCAUGAG